rnacentral:pre_miRNA from 13 species
UAACCGCAGGGAACUGUCGCUGCUGAUAUAUAUAUAUUAUUGUUAUAUAUAAUUUAAAAAUGAUUUUCUAUAUCACAGUGGCUGUUCUUUUUGGUUUU